AGUAGUUUGACUCCGUGGCUCGAGGACGAACGCUGGCGGCGUGCUUAACACAUGCAAGUCGAACGGGCACUUCGGUGCUAGUGGCGAACGGGUGAGUAAAGCGCAGGUAAUCUGCCGCAAAGUCGGGGACAACGUCCCGAAAGGGACGCUAAUACCGGAUGUUGUAAGAUUCUUGCAUGGGAGUUUUACUAAAGAUUUAUCGCUUUGCGAGGAGCCUGCGUCCGAUUAGCUAGUUGGCGGGAUAAAAGCCCACCAAGGCGACGAUCGGUAGCCGGUCUGAGAGGAUGAACGGCCACAAUGGAACUGAGACACGGUCCAUACUCC
rnacentral:rRNA from 1 species